rnacentral:rRNA from 1 species
CAGUCGCCACGGUAAUACGAAGGGUGCAAGCGUUACUCGGAAUUACUGGGCGUAAAGCGUGUGUAGGUGGUUGUUUAAGUCUGUCGUGAAAGCCCUGGGCUCAACCUGGGAAUUGCGAUGGAUACUGGGCGACUAGAGUGCGGUAGAGGAUAGUGGAAUUUCCGGUGUAGCAGUGAAAUGCGUAGAGAUCGGAAGGAACAUCUGUGGCGAAGGCGACUAUCUGGGCCAACACUGACACUGAGACACGAAAGCGUGGGGAGCAAACAGGAUUAGAUACCCCCGUAGUCCCUGUCUCUAUACA